rnacentral:sRNA from 22 species
GUCAACUAACCCACGAAUAAAUUCGUAGGCUUGUAGGAGCAAUCCUAUUAAGCUUGGUUGAUUAGCCUAAGUAUUAAUUUACUACGUUAUACAAGAAUAUAUAGUUAUCUUGGGAUACUCCACAAGUCCCAUGCUCUAAG